rnacentral:lncRNA from 1 species
AUGGCGUCAUUGGCGUUGACUGCACAUGGGCUCAUAACAGAAUCAGUUCAGAAUCAAUCACCAAAAGAAUCAGUUCGGUUCCAGACGCUCUGUGUGUCGGUUUGCUUCACGCUAAAUCACACAUGCGCAGUAUCAUCAGCUCCUCGGUUCACGAAUCGGACGCGUCUGACAGAAACGGUUCUUGACUCACAAACGAGUCAUUAUCUGGCUCGGCUCGUUGUUCAUCUUCAGUUCUCUCUUCACAUCAGUUCAGUCAGUGUACUGUUUGAGUCAAUGAAUUACUCCGGGAUAUUGGUUUGUUUUAACUCAGAGGGAGUGUCAGACACAUUAAACAAGUUAACAGCUUAAUUCAUCUGUGAAUUAAUGCGUAUUGGAGACGCGAACUGUUUAAAACGAUUCAGUUCGAUUUGGUGGACUGUUUCAAAAAGAUCCGGUUACAUCGAAUGAUUCGUUCGCGAACCAGAUAUCACAAACUGCUUUGUUUUUAACUGUCUUACAACAGACACGGAAAAGAAGACAAUGCUGAAUAAAGUCGUAGUUUUUGCUAUUUUUGGACCAAAAUGUAUUUUCGAUGCUUCAAAAAAUUCUAAAUGACCCUCUGAUGUCUUAAGGGUUUGAAACAACAUGAGGGUAAGUUAUUAAUGACAUCAUUUUGCAAAUUGGGCUAACUAACCAUAGUAACCGUUUUUUUGUUUACAAGAAGUUACAGUCAAAGGAAUUGUGAUUGUCCUUUAGGUUAAUCAUUUGAAAUAGUAAAAACAAUAUGUUCAAACUUUUGACUACUUUCUUUAAUAGCUACAUAACACAAUACUUCUACUUUUACUUUCAGUACGUGAGUAGUAAAUUUUAAAAUAGACUACUUGCAAUACUUAAGUACAAAAAAUGUUGAAUACUUUAGUACUUCUACUUAAGUGUGGUGCUUAAAGAGCACUUCUACUUCUACUCAAGUCACUUUUUUGAUAGAGCACUUGUACUUUUACUCGAGUAUGGUUCUCUAGUACUUUAUUCACCUUAUUUUCCAUGGCAACAACGGUGCCGCCAUUGCGCUCGUUUUGUCAUCUUACUUCCGGCUGAGGGACCGGACGUAACGUACCUAAGCUAGUGGCUAGAUAACAGAAUGCAAAUGCUCAGUUAGGGGCUGCAUAACAAUUGUAUUUAAAAAACAAUUGCACCAACGAUGUAGCGAACACAUUGUGAAGCGGUCGGAGUGUUGUGGUGCACUUUACAAUUUACACCCACCACCUAAAGAAGAGAAGCACCUGAGGAAAUGGAUGAAGGCGCUAAAUUUGAAGCGCCCACCAAGUGCUCUUAUGUGUGUUCUUACCAUUUCAUGGACGGGAAGGCGACUGACGAACACUCUUACCCCGAGAAAUGGCUCGACUACGAUGUUCUGUUAAAGAAAUCACGCCGGGGGAUGAAAAGGUUGUCAGAUUCGGGUAAGCUAACCUUAACUAGCUAUGUGUUUGCUCGCCUAACGUUAGAUUUAUGAAGUCCGUUCUAUGAAUACAUAUAAGAUCAGUAACAGGCAGUUAACGAAGUACAACGAAUUUUCCAUGAUUACCAUUGUCCACCUAUUUAUUUAAUAUUUACGGUAGUACAAGAUAUUAUAGUACAUUACAAUAGCUCACAUUAUUUCUGCUACAGAGAUUGCAGGUGAUAGCAGGCCAGCUAACUACAUUUCUCAUUCAGAUACUGACCUACGUUUGAACACUACAGUUAAGAGUGUGUAUACUGUUUUGUUUCUAAUGCAUCUCUCUCUCUUUCUCACACACACACACAGUUCUAAGUUCGGGUCCCAUCAUAUAUUAAUACUCAUGAUAUAUUGCAAGUACUAAUGUAAAAAUGUUUAAUUAUUUCCACAGAUGUAUCAAUGACCGCCGGUGAUGCAGUGGACAACUGUGAGGGUGAUCAGAUCCACAUGCACCUGAUCUCGCUGAAAGUCACCAGAAGUUACCUGCUGUAAUAGAUAUUUUUAUGAACCUUUACAAUGUCACCUGACAUUACCUGCUGUAAAUAGUUUUUAUUUAUCUAUCUUAAUUUGAUCUUUUUUUUUUAUCUUUAAUCUCUGAUUUGAAGGAAUAAGUCAUGUCAAGUUUGCAAGAUAAUUCCAUCUUGGUUUAUUACAUAUGGAAAUUAAAUGAAGUUUUACAGGAUAGUCAGUAGGAGGUGUCUCUUGCUUCCUGAAAACAACAAACACUUAUCAACAAAUCACAAAUGAUUUUAUACAACUUAUAGUAAAUUAUCCAUGUUCUAAAAAACAAAUCACAGUCUGUCUCUUGUUUAACACAACUGAUUUAAAGCAACUUAUUUCAUAUAGUUAGUCUUCACCCACAUCCUCUACAUCCCAUCCCAAUCACCUAAUAUCCUAUCCUUAACCUAAUUAUUCUCAUUCUUACUUACAAAGCUGCAAGUAUAUUGUGGAAAGCAGCAGGUCGCUAGCCUGAAACUCAUCUGACACGAUGAAGCAUACACUUUAAAUAAAAGGUUUGUAGUCUAGCUACAGUCUUGGCACAGAAUUGCUGAUUGUGUGGCACAUGUAACUUGCUGUGAUGAAACCCAGAUGAGCAGCUUACAGGCCCUCAGCCCUGUACAGAACAUGGCAAACCUAAAAUACAUUUCAACGCUUUCACAGUUGUCUUAUUUCAGAAUCAUUCAUUAUUAUUAUUAUUACAGUUGACAUUUACCUACAUUAUUCAUUGAUUAGACUUAAUGUACACCUACCAAACCUUAACUUUACCUUACCUUUUGCAUAUACACUGUGCAGAAUUAAGAGGCAAGUUGAUUUUCUUAUUCAUAUUUUUUGGUAAAAUUUAACAAUUCCAAACCACACCAAUCUUAACUAUUAAUUUUGCAGUGAUAUAUAUUAAUUUUAUAAGUGAUAUAUAAUCUUUUUUUGGCUUGUUUUAUUUGUAAAAGAAAAUCUGCCUAAUAAUUAUGCAUACCUGGAUAAACAGCGUUUUUCACUUCCAAGUUCCAGCCUCCUCCUUUUCUAAUGUGUAAUUGAUAAACGUUCACUUACCAUACUCCACUGUACAAUUAAGUUAUUAGGCAAAAUACUUAGUCUGAUGAUGGUCAUCAAACACGUUAAUAUACUUUUAAACAUUUAUAACUUCGUGUAUGUUAACAUCACACACACACACACAAAACUAACCAGCACCAUGCGGAGAGGUUUAGACUGCUCGACUGGCUGGUUGCACGUUCAAUUUUAAAAAGACGAAAAAACCCUCGCUGUGUAACAGUACACGACCCACUGUCUCACUGUAAAUACUGGUAAGCCUCGGUACAUUUAAAAAAAAAAAUUUUUCCUUGCUGCUCCAUCAACUCCUUCUGACAGGGCAGUUAAAUAUAUAGGUUAACUCUGGCCACUUCUUCCUAUGGUCUAACAUUACCCACGUUAACAGCGACAAUGGAUGGGACAAUUUGAGACCAUUUGAUCGUCAUAAGACGUUUUUAUCGUGCUCCCAAUUUAUAACAUAACGUUCUUUGUCAUUUCGCCACAGUUAUAGCUAGCUAUAAAUAAUCUUACAACUACUAAACUAGUAACCGGACGUGCCGUAUCGCUUUAGCGGAAGUCGGAUGACAAAAUGCGGAAAUGCGAAGUAUUAAAAGUGGGCGGGGCGGAAUAAGGUGAAUACAUCUCUGGUAAAAAGGAAGUUGGAGACGAGUCACGUUUAAAAAACCAAAUCAUUAUUUUAAAAACCACACUGCCAUCUAGUGUCAACUUGGACACCGUGAAAACCUGAAUAUAUGAAUUGCUCUUCUGUAAAGACUUGAUAGCGCAAGUGAAAAUUAAUCAACUUAUUGAACUAUCUUACAAUCAAGACAGAUAUAGUCCGCUGACCUUUUAGAAUUUAGAUAACA